AUUCGAUCGUUUUAGCCUCUUCAUACCGUAUAGCAGCUGGGGCGAAAGAUGCUUUUUCAACUAAUUAAGAAGAGAAAUGCAGAAUCAGCACAUCGAUUGGCCCUGAAAAUGUAGUCUAUCAGGUUAUAAUUCUCCACUUCCCGUAUCGAUGGCCUCAAAAGUUCUUCCAAAACAUCCCGAAACGGCAUGGAAAAAAAGAUUUAUCGAUAUAAGCAGUAUUCCGAUUAAUCAUCAAGCUGCAAUUACAUCCGGCGUACUGUGAUCCGUAUUAAGUGACACCAUGAUAAAAUAAAGAAGUAACA